UCUCAGGAUGCGAUGCUAAUGAGCCAGAGA
rnacentral:piRNA from 1 species